AGAAGGCCAAGAAGUCCUGACAACAUGGGCGAGUUGGACAAGGACCUCUGCCUUUUCUGGAAGAGGGUAGCAGCUGCUAACAUUACCUUUCCCACCUCCGCAAUAAUCUCCUUCGAGUUCCUCGAGGGCCAACUCGAAGCUCACAUAGGUUAGCACUUACCUCGACAUUUAGGUUUUCGUCUUGUGUUUAUUGGGCGUCCUGCUUGUUGCGCACUGGACUUGGUUUUUAUUUCAUGCACCAUUU
rnacentral:lncRNA from 1 species